UACGAAGGGGGCUAGCGUUGUUCGGAUUUACUGGGCGUAAAGCGCACGUAGGCGGAUCAUUAAGUCGGGGGUGAAAUCCUGGAGCUCAACUCCAGAACUGCCCUCGAUACUGGUGAUCUUGAGUCCGGAAGAGGUGAGUGGAACUCCUAGUGUAGAGGUGGAAUUCGUAGAUAUUCGGAAGAACACCAGUGGCGAAGGCGACUCACUGGACAUGUAUUGACGCUGAGGUGCGAAAGCGUGGGGAGCAAACAGG
rnacentral:rRNA from 1 species